UUGCUACGGAAUAACGCAGGGAAACUUGUUUUUCCCCCCGUAUGUGGGGGAAGGGAGAAAGAUUUAUCGGCAAGAGAUGAGCCCGCGUUGGAUUAGCUAGUUGGUGGGGUAAAGGCCUACCAAGGCGACGAUCCAUAGCUGGUCUGAGAGGAUGAUCAGCCACAUUGGGACUGAGACACGGCCCAAACUCCUACGGGAGGCAGCAGUGGGGAAUAUUGGACAAUGGGCGCAUGUUUUUUUUUGCCAUGCCGCGUGAGUGAUGAAGGCCCUAGGGUUGUAAAGCUCUGGGGGGGGGGGGACCAUGACGGUCUCCGGAGAAGAAGCCCCGGCUAACUUCGUGCCAGCAGCCGCGGUAAUACGAAGGGGGCUAGCGUUGUUCGGAAUUACUGGGCGUAAAGCGCACGUAGGCGGAUCGAUCAGUCAGGGGUGAAAUCCCAGGGCUCACCCUGG
rnacentral:rRNA from 1 species